rnacentral:rRNA from 1 species
AGAACGAACGCUGGCGGCAUGCUUAACACAUGCAAGUCGAACGGAUAGCUUGCUAUCAGUGGCGCACGGGUGAGUAACACGUGGGAACCUACCUUUUAGUUUGGGAUAACUUUGGGAAACUAAGGCUAAUACCGGAUACGCUUUGCAGCUUGGCGCUGUAAAGGAAAGAUUUAUCGCUAAAAGAUGGGCCCGCGGUGGAUUAGCUUGUUGGUGGGGUAAAGGCUUACCAAGGCAACGAUCCAUAGCUGGUCUGAGAGGAUGAUCAGCCACACUGGGACUGAGAUACGGCCCAGACUCCUACGGGAGGCAGCAGUGGGGAAUAUUGGACAAUGGGCGAAAGCCUGAUCCAGCAAUGCCGCGUGAGUGAAGAAGGCUUUCGGGUUGUAAACCUCUGUCCUUGGUGACGAAAAAAUGACGGUAGCCAAGGAGGAAGCCCCGGCUAACUACGUG